rnacentral:lncRNA from 1 species
UGGGGCUGGGGUCAAGCUUGACGGAAGUGGCCAGCAAUUAAACCUCUUGAUUACUGCUGCUUCAGGUGGUGUAGGUCAUUACGCAGUUCAACUAGCAAAGCUUGGAAACACAUUUGUAACAGCCACUUGUGGGGCUCGUAAUCUGGAUUUUGUCAAAAGCCUCGGAGCAGACGAGGUUCUUGACUACAAAACUCCCGACGGUGCAGCUCUGAAAAGCCCUUCCGGUCGCAAAUACAAUGUAGUGAUCCACUGUGCUUCUGGUAUUCCUUGGUCUACCUUUGAACCUAAUCUAAGUUCAAACGGGAAGGUAAUCGACAUAACCCCCGGUCUUAGUGCUUUCCUAACUUGUGCUGUGAAAAAGCUUACCUUCUCAAAGAAGAAGCUGGAACCACUGCAAUUGUCACCUAAAAAGGAGAACCUCGAUUAUCUGGUUAACUUAGUGAAAGGCGGGAAGCUUAAGACGGUAAUCGAUUCAAAGUAUCCCCUAAGUAAGGCUGAGGAAGCAUGGGCUAAGAGCAUUGAUGGGCAUGCCACUGGUAAGAUCAUUGUGGAGCCUUAAUCUAUGAAAUAUUACUUUUUACUUACUACAGUGAUGCUUGGAGUUGGAGGUCAUGCUGCUUGUGUGUAUAAUUGGGAUUUGUGUAUUUUAAAAAUUAUGUGUAUGAAAUGUAUGGUUAAUAUACACAUUGGAUGACAUUGCAAAAUUUUCUUAAUGUGUUAUAAGCUUUGUUUUCACAAAUUUAGCUCUUGUUUUAUGUGUUUCUUACUUUUCCUUCGGACUUAUAUGUAUUUUUUUUCAUGUCUAUUUUAUAAUUUAUGUUCGGAGUUAAUAGCCUUUUUUUCUAAUAAUGUCGAUUUUAAGAUUAAAAAUACUUGUUGAAAUUUGUAUAGCUUUUCAUUGGUUGCAUAUUUUGAAAUUUUUUAAAAUUAAAGUUUUACUUAUAAAUUAAAUAUCUUGUUAAUAAUAUCUAUUAUAUAUUAUAUUUGAAAGUUUAUUGAGCAAAUAUUUUAUGAAUUAUAUUUUGUUAAAAAAUAUUUAAAAUUUAUUAAAUUACUUUUUUCAAUUAUUUAUUGUAACACAUUGAUUUUAAUUUUUAUAGGAUGUAGUAAAAAAUAAAAAAAAUUAAUUAUAUAAAUAAGUGUGACACUUAUCGCACCCUUAACCCACUUGUAAAGUAUAAAAAAUUUCAUUCGCGAUGUAUCAAAUAAUUACCCAUUAUUUUUUUUAUCAUUUUCAAUUAUAUUGACCUUUGAUUAACUUAUAACAUCAAUUUAUUCAUCAGUCCAAAUAAUAUCCUCAACGUACUUCACAAAUAAUGUAUGGAAUAAUUUUCCUUUGAAAUAUUUUUUCUAAACCUUGCGAACAUAUCUGUAUAUCUAUUACCUUCUUUACUGUUUGAACCGAUGAAGGGGAAUCUUGCUUAUCACACCAACUGAAUUAUCUUUUCAAUUUGAUUUCUUUAACCUUCACGAUGAUAAUUUAUUGGUUAAAUCUAUUAUUAGUCUAUAUAUUAUGCGUAAGUUAUAGAUUUAGGAUCCUUUUGGAUGGAAGUUUUUUUUAGUACGGUGCGUUUGGCUUUUUUUUGGUCUCAUAUUACCGUAUCAAAUCUUACUACUACUGCUGUUUUUACACUAACUGUAGGUAAACGCACCUUAAUCUCUAUACUUCAAUUUGGUAAAUUUUAAUCCAUGAACUUUUUGAAUUGGUCAAUUUUAAGUACUUUCCAAGUUUUAAAACUUUAGCCAGAACCCAAAUGGUAGCAACUAAAUUUGUUUUGGUUAAAAUCUACUAUUAGUUAUAUAUUUUGCGUAAUGUUUUAAAUUUAGCCCAUAAGCUCCUAUUCGAUUAUUGUUAAUCCUUAUAUUUUUCAAAAUUCAAAAUUUCAAUACUGACACAAAUAACAACUGCUAAAUCCAGUAAUUGAUUCUUUUGUGAGUAGCAUGUUAAAAUAAUAAGUUAACAUGUACAUAAUAUAUUUGCUGCAUAAUAUUUUGAAAAUAGUAUAACAUAUUAAAUCUAAUAGUUACCAUUUAGUUAAGAUUUUGAAAAAUACAUGUUUAAAUUUAACUAAAUUAAAGUAUAGAAACUAAACACACAACUUAUACCUAGUACAAAAGUUAAUAAUGAAAAUUAAUCUAAACUAUUAAAAACUAUUAAAUUUUGUCACACAUAUAAUAUGGGUGAAAAUGCAUGUAACAAAUUUAAAAAAAAUGAAAAAAAUUUGAUAUGAUAACAAAAAAUGGAGUUAGAAAAUUAAAAAACAUCAUAUUUUACGUUGAUGUCUCAUUAUGUCUAUCUAUUUUUCUACAUUUUAUAUAAAAAAAUAAAAUUACCCUUAAAAUUAUUUCUAUUACUAAUUAAAAUAAUAAAUUUUUGAUAAAUACACUCUUUAAAUUGAUGGGUGUCGAACCCAUCAAAAAUAAUUCCUACAAAAUAACUCUAAAUAGUAGUAAAGAGUGGUAGUAGGGCUGAGUCUACAAGGAUUGGAUGUUAUAAUCAACUUCCAUAUUUAACUUGUGAUCAUAAUUUUUGUCGUAUUGAAAGUAGUGGCAAAAGUCAUGCCCACGACUCCAAACGGGCCAGCUGAAAAAUAAACAAAUAAAUCAGGGAGUUUUGAAAUGUUUAGAAACUAAAUAAUUGAAAUAGCAUAAAUAAAAAAUUAAAUAAAUUAGAAAUUAAAUUAGAAAUUAAACUCGGAUUUGGUAAUCAAAGAUAAAUAAGCCUUAGCCCUAGACUCGGUGGACUCCGGAUUUUUUAAUCGAUCAUUGAAAAUUAAUUUUCUCCUCCAAAUAAUAAGCUGGUUAUAGCAGUUAAGAACAUCCUAACCACCAAUUCUUCCUAUUGUAGCUAGUCCCGGUACGACCUGCAAACCAACCCUUACCGAUUAUCUAAUCGAAUACACGUGUUCCCGAUUCAAGAUUCCAGCGGCCUUGCGCUCUGAAGAACCCAACUCGAAUUAACGGCCUCAACCGCGUGGAUCGUUUAAACCCGAUCACUUCUUCCUUGACUUGUUCUCGAAGAUUCGAAUACAGCACGGCCGACUCGUUUCUCCAAUUGUCAGCAAACAUGACUCCAACCCAACGUGCACUUUUUGACUUGAAAUCGAGUUAACUUUAAGGGAUGAGUUGUCAAUCCCGAUAGUUAGGAAAAAUGUGAAUACCGAUUAGAAAGAUUUUUAGUACGGAUACGUAUCUCACGAUUCCCAACCAGAAAGAACACCGACCUAAAGCUAAGAUGGAAUUUAGUGAAGCAUGGAUUUAAUCAUGUUUUGGUUGGCUAUGAUUGGAUUUGAAUGAAAGAUGGUGGAAAUUGGGAAAGGAAAGGACUUGGAGGACAAUUAGACAAAUUUUGAAAGAACAAAGAAUUGGAAAUGAAGUAAUUAACAGAAUGUUACGCACCAAAUUUGAGAAAAGAAAACAAUUCUAUUCAAUUCCAAAUUGAAAUCAAAAUGUGAAAUUAAAUGUGUCUUUUCUAAGUACAUUAAAGCCAUAGUAUUUAUUAAUUUUGGCUUUAACUACUUCAACAUAUAAUUAAAAUUAAAUAAAAAAUAAAAUAAGAUUUUUUCUGUUUUUGGCUUUUACAAAGUUAAAAAAAUUUGAUGAGCCAUUGGCUUUCUCCACAUUUUUGAUUCAGCCUCAUUUCAUUAAUUGUGUUUUAAUUUGGUCCUUUUCUGCUCGUUUUUUUCUCUUAGCGUUCCAAUUGCAUCCCUGAUAAGAUUAAAACAUAAAAACACUAAUUUAACAAGGAUCAAUUCAGAAAUAAACUGAAUUAAAGACAAAAUGUCAUACAAAUUAACAUGUUAUCAUAAAAUAGUGGAGUAAUAAAAAAUAGAUAGAUGAUAUAUUCACUCCUAAGUCUUUCCUCAAUCCAUAAAUAAGAGGAUAACGUGUGUUAGCGUACUCGAACUUACAUUCUCUUGUAUUAAUAAUAAUGUUUAUAUCCAUCAAGCUAAAACUUUAUCAACUCCACUCCCGAGUUUAUAGUAUAUUAGAGACUUAAAUAUGGUAACAGAUAAUAGAUAAUUAUUUUCCAACCUACCAAAUUAAACAUUUCGAGAGAUUUCUUGCAAAAUCAUCGAGGGUAUAUCCGUCAACUCAACAAUGUGGUCCCAUUUGUUUAAAUGGUUAUGGCUAGCAGUUAACAAUACAAAUCUCCACCUACGGUAUCCUCCGCCAUUCUCUGAACUUCAUUUUUCCUUCAAAAAAAAAAACAAAAAAAACUUCGAUUUUAUCUCUUUUAAUGAAAAAAAUGGCUGAAAAUCUUAUGCAUGCUUUACAAUAUAACAGCUACGGCGGAGGCGCUGCUGGUUUGAAGGUAAAUAUCUACUUUCUUAUGAUGAUUUAUUUUGCUUUCCGUAGUGUUUUGUCGCAUAUAUAAUUUUGUUUAGUUGAGAUAUUAAUUCGUUUUUUAAGUGAAGAUUUCAAUUAAGGUUGUUAAUAUAGUGUUUAUAUUGAUCUAAGUUUGCUCUUUGGAUUCAAAAUACUAUCAGUUAAAUUUGUGAUUGAAAAGCAUGAAGAUGAUUUCAGUGAGUGCCGUGAGUUACUAUGGAAGUGGAAUUUUCUGGAACGGGAAUGAACUAGGGAUUUGCUAUUCGGAAUUAAAAUUUCAAAAAAAGGAUCUGAGAUUGAGAGGAUGGCUUGAUAGUUAAAUGUUGAGCCAUUUUAUCGUCGGAUUCAAAAUUUUAUUUGUUAAGUUUGUGAUUGAAAGCAUAUAGAUAAUUUGAAUGAGUGCUGCGAGGCAGUAGGAUAGUGGAAUUUUCUGGAAUGGGAGUAAAUUAAGGAUUUGCUCAUUUGAAGAGAUCUGAGACUGAGGCUGAUACUUGACAGUGAAGUUGAGUGUUUAAAUUUUUUAUAUGGACUUGCUUGAUAUAAACUUGAAAAACUAAUAGCCAGCGACUUCAUGUCAUAACAGCUUUGAAUUUUUUUGUGCUUGUUACAGCAUGUUGAAGUUCCGAUCCCCACUCCAAAUAAAGGUGAAAUUUUGCUUAAACUGGAGGCAACUAGUCUAAACCCGGUUGACUGGAAAAUACAGAAAGGGAUGCUGCGCCCAUUUUUACCUAGAAAAUUCCCCUACAUACCUGGUAGUUUAUUUGUCAUCCUUUCACGACUGUUUUGGUCUUGAAAUAUUAUCGAGACUCUUUUUUUUUACUUGGUUAGUGGUAUUUGUGUUUAAUUUACACUAUCUGUUAAGUAUCUCAAGUUACAUCAGUCUUCAAUAUCUGGGUUUGUUGUAGUACCAUGUCAAAUUCCCAAGCAGUAUUCAACUUGGAAUCUAAUUUGCUUCGAUUUACAUUGUGAAGUUUGCUUUAGUAGUAACAAUUGAUGGAAGAAAUGUGCAUUUGUUAACUCAAGUUUUUAUUAAAGGACAGAAUUUGUCUAUUUGUUAAGGCAUAUCUUUUUCUAUAAUUAACCAACAUAAUAAUAGGCUGGUUGGUAGGUCUCUUAGUUUAAGCAGUUAUGGUUAUUUGAUGUUAAUUUUUGGCAUCCUAUUGUCAUGGAAGAUUUGAUAUCUCAAACGAAAGUUGCCUAUAUACCAUUUGCAAAUUAUAUUAAAGAACCCAUCAUCAGUAAGCUUUGUAGUUUUCUCUCUGUCUAUAUUUGGAUUGCCGCAUUUUAAGCAUUGGUCAAAGAUAUUUUUUUCAUGUGCAGCUACUGAUGUAGCGGGAGAAGUCGUAAAAGUUGGACCGGGAGUCACAAAUUACAAAGCUGGGGAUAAAGUUGUGUCUAUGCUCCAUCAUUUUGUAAGUUCUCAUUCUCAUUCUUAAUCCUUCCCCCCACCCCCCACCCCCCACCUGAAAAAAUAAUCAGCAUAAAAGCUCUGGCCCUUAGGCUCUCAACUGGCAUGUCAUUAAUCAUUCUGAGAACAAUCAGAAAGGAGAUUUCUUCAUGAAGAGUGGAAGAAUCACCAGCAUUUUACUAGCUUAAUAGAUCACAAUUUGAAAAAUUGUUAAUGAUAUUUGUGUUUUUGGUACUAGCUCAAGCAAUUAAUUGGGCACCGAGCUUGGUAGGACUUUAGGCAACAAUUCUUGAGGUAAAAUAUGGAUCUUCUUAUGGCCAAAAAAUCAACUUCAGAAUCCAACAAUGACAGAACAACGUAAAUUGUAGCCCCAUAAAAAGGAUUUUUAUGGACUGGUUCUACACUUUUUGUUCUAAAUAAACCAUGUUGAUCUUCCAAUGAGUGAUCUUGAUUAGCUCUAGUUAUGAGAACUGGUUAGCAUUGGCCUGCUUGCCUGAUUAGAUUAAUCAAAGUAAAUUAAAGCUGUCAUCCCCAGAAUUUGAAAUCCUGAAAGCUUUUGGCUUUCUUUAUUUUGCUUGUAUUGAUAGUGAUGCUAGAGAAAUAUAGUAUAUUCAAUGUUUCACUGGCCUUAUUACAACUAUAGGAUUAUCCUGAGACCCCAGAUCUUAUUACUGCUACUUUUCAUAUCGAGUCGUAUCGUGUUUAGAAUGCAAAAACUAUCUAUGUGGAUAUCAUUUCUGAGGUAGUGAUUUUAGUCUCAUCAUGUGGCCAUUUGGCUGAGAGAAACCUAGAUAUCAUUACUGCAGGCCAGUGGUUCAGUGAAUUCAUCUUCUAUUCGUAUUAUCAAUGAAUCAGUUAUGUCGAUUGCUAUGCUAUCUUCUAUUAUGAAUUAUUUGCAAUGAUAGACUGGAGGUGGACUAGCUGAAUAUGCUGUGGCUAAGGAGAAUCUGACUGUUGCAAGGCCACCAGAAGUAUCAGCUGCUGAAGGUGCAGGUUUGCCUGUUGCUGGUCUUACAGCUCACCAGGCACUCACACAGUCGGCUGGGGUCAAGCUUGAUGGAAGUGGCCAGCAAGUAAACCUCUUGAUUACUGCUGCUUCAGGUGGUGUAGGUCAAUAUGCAGUUCAACUAGCAAAGCUUGGAAACACCCAUGUGACAGCCACUUGUGGGGCUCGCAAUCUGGAUUUCGUCAAAAGCCUCGGAGCAGAUGAGGUUCUUGACUACAAAACUCCCGACGGUGCAGCUCUAAAAAGCCCUUCGGGUCGCAAAUAUGAUGCAGUGAUCCACUGUGCAAUGGGCAUUCCUUGGUCUACCUUUGAACCUAAUCUAAGUUCAAACGGGAAGGUAAUCGAUAUAACCCCAGGUCCUAGUGCUCUGCUAACUUUUGCUAUGAAAAAGCUUACCUUCUCAAAGAAGAACCUGGUACCACUGCUAUUGUCACCUAAGAAGGAGAACCUCGAAUAUCUAAUUAACUUAGUGAAAGAGAAGAAGCUUAAGACGGUAAUUGAUUCAAAGCAUCCCUUAAGUAAGGCUGAAGAAGCAUGGGCUAAGAGCAUUGAUGGCCAUGCCACUGGUAAGAUCAUUGUGGAGCCUUAAUCUAUGAAAUAUUACUUUAUACUUAAUACAGUGAUGCUUGAAGGACAUAUUGCUUGUUUGUAUAAUUAGGAUUUUUGCACUUUGAAAUUUAUGUUUAUGGAAUGUUUGGUUAAUAUAUUGCAAAAUUUUCUUAACGUGUUGUAAGCUUCGAAUUCACAAAUUUAGCUCUGCUUUUAUAUGGCUCCUGCUUCUCCUUGCUUUUCUUGGUUUAUAAUUUGAUCAAUGAAAUGUUGUUGGAAGUUGGACUAUCUUGUGUUUUUUUUUUCCCAGUUAAUGGUUAUUUUUCCUUGUAAUAUCGUUUUUAAAGUUCAAAUUUGCAAUAUUUCUUUGAUAGUGUAAUAUCUCUUAUCAUUACAUUUAAUACUUGUUGGUAUUUGUAUACUUUUUUAUUGGGUUAAUAUUUCAAUUUUUUUUUUUAAAAAAUCAAAAUUUUGCUUUUAAGUUUAAUUUUGUCAAUUUUAUUUAGUUCUAAAAUAUUUAAAAAUGAUUAAAAUAUUUUUUUUAUUGUAACACAUUAAUUUUGAUUUUUAUGGUUGUCAAUUAAAUUGACCUUGGGACAUUAGUUCAAAUUAUAUCCUUAAUUCAUUUGUAGAGUUUUUAAAAAUAAUAUCUGGAAUAAUUAUUUUUUAAGUACAUAUUGGACAUCUGUUACCUUCUCAUCAGUUUGUACUGAUGAUUAAGAAUCAUGCAAUCUAUAGUUGAUGUACGCGAUUCAAUCAAAAUUUAUCAUCAUAGUUCAUCCGUUGACUAAUCAUUUCAACUGAUUUUUUUAGCCUUGUAUGCUUAAGGCAUGAGUUUAAUUUAUAAAAUUUUUGAAUUGAUUUGUUUUAGUUAUUAUAUUUUCUAAAUUUUAAAAUUUCAGCACAAUUGAGAUGAUAAUAAUUAAAUUUAUUUCGAUUAAAUUUUAUUUUAAUUUUAUAUUAUGUAUAAAGUUAUAAAUUUUACCUAUAUUCACUUAUUCAGUAAAUUUUAGUUUUUCAAAAUUUGAAAUUUUAGUUUCGACGUAAAUGAUAAUCACUAAAUUUAUUAAAUGAUUUUUUGUGGGUGAUAUGUUAAAAUAGCAAGUUAACAUGACAUAAUAUAUUUUCCGCAUAAAAUUUUAAAAAUAAUAUAACGUAAUUUAACAGUUGUUGUUUAGUUAAGAUUUUAAAAAAUAGAUACUCAAAAUCAAACAAGUUAAAGUAAAAAACUAGACACACAACUUAUAUAUAUAGUACAAUAAUAAAUAGUAUAAAUAAAUUUAAACUAUAAAAAAUUAUUAGAUUUCGUCAUAAGGGUGAAAAAUGUAUGUAAUAAAUAUAAUAACAAAAAAUAGUUUUGGAUGAAGUGAUAAAAGUUAAAAGACUAAAAGUCAUAAUGUUCUGAGUUUAAAUCUCAUUAUUAUCCCUAUCUAUUUUUUAAAAUUUUAUAUGUAAAAGGAUAAAACUACCUUUAAAAUUAUAUUUAGUAUAGAUUAAAAUGAGAAGUUUUUAUAUGAAAUAUUGACAGAUGUAGCGUAAGCAGGUUGAGCUUUGGGCAAUUUGCGAUGCACUCCUUUUGACGUGGGUGUUUAUAUGAAAUAAUUUUAUAAUUGAUUCCAGUUUUUUUAUUUAAAGAAAAUGAGAAAUUUUUAAUAAAUUCAUUAUUGAGUUGGUGACUCGAUUGCGAUUGAUAUUAAUAUAAUAAAAUACUUAAAUAUUGUAAUAAACGGUAAUAGAUAAUAGAUAAAUAUUUUCCAAAUAUGAAAUAAAUAAUACAACUUUAGCAGCUACCAAAUUCAACAUUUCAAUAGAUUUCUUGCAAAAUCAUCCAGGGUAUAUCCGUCAAAUUAACAAUGUGGUCUCCAUUUGUUUUUAUACGCCAUUCUUUGAACUUCAUUUUUUCUUAUAGAAAAAAGCUUCGGUUUGAUCUCUUUUAGUGAAAGAAAUGGCUGAAACUCUUAUGCAUGCUUUACAAUAUGACAGCUAUGGCGGAGGCGCUGCUGCUUUGAAGGUAAAAAUCUACUUCAUUAUGAUGAUCUAUUUUGCUUGCUUUUACUUUUUUCUUACUGUUUUAUCAUAUAAGUUUAGUUCCUUUUUUUAGUGGAGACUUCAAUUAAGGUUGUUAAUCUAGUGUUUACAUUGAUCUAAGUUUGCUCUUCGGAUUCAAAAUUCGAUUCGUUUAACUUAUGAUUGAAGAAAGCAUGAAUAUGAUUUCAAUGAGUGCCGUGAGUUACUAAGGAAUUGGAAUUUUCUGGAACGGAAAUGAACUAUAGGGAAUUUGCUAUUCGGAAUUAAAAUUUCACGACAAGGAUAUGAGAUUGUGAGGUUGACUUGAUGGAGAAGUUAAGUGUUGACCGAUUUUAUUGUCGGAUUCAAAAUUUUAUUUGUUAAAUUUGUGAUUGAAAGCAUAUAGAUAAUUUGAAUGAGUACUCCGAUGCACUAGGAUUCUGGAAUUUUCUGGAAUUGAAGUAAAUUAAGUAUUUGCUCUUUGGAAUUAAAAAUUCCAAAAAAGAUCUGUGACUUAUGGGCUAAGACUUGAUAGUGAAGUUAAGUGUUAACUGAUUUUAUCGUCGGAUUCAAAAUUCUAUUAGUUAAAAAAUUGUGAUUGAAAGCACAUUCUGGAACGGAAGUAAAUAAGAAUUUGCUCUUGGAAGAGAUCUGAGACCGAGAGGUUGAUAGGUUGAUACUCUUUUUUUUUUUUUUUUUAAAUUUAAUCGGCAUGCUUUAUUAAUACCACAAAACAAGACAAAAUUGGUUGUUUGGAAAACUCCACCCACAGCAACACUAAACCACCAAAAACAAACAAUUAAAACAAAAAAAAAUUUUUAUAUGGACCUGCUUGAUAUAAACUUGAAAAGAAAUUUUACCAGUGACUUGAUGUCAUAACAGCUUUGAAUUUUUUGUGCUUGUUACAGCAUGUUGAAGUUCCAAUACCCACUCCAAAUAAAGAUGAAAUGUUGCUUAAACUGGACGCAAUUAGUCUAAACCCAGUUGACUGGAAAAUACAGGAAGGGGUGCUUCGCCCAUUUUUACCUAGAAAAUUCCCCUGCAUACCUGGUAGUUUAUAUAUUUUGUUCUUUUCACCUUUUCUGUCUUGAAAUUUUCUUGAGACUUUCUUUUUGUCAAUGAUGUUUGAACCGGAUCAGACUGGCCAGUUAGACCAGGAAUUAGCCUAGGUAUCGGUCCGGAGAAUGACUUUGAACAGAUACGGACCAGUUGAACCUACGGUUGGAUUGGAAACUAGUCAUCGGUUUAGAGAAUGGCUUUGAACUGGUUUAGAUCGGGAACCAGUACUGACCGGUUCAACAGAUUAAAAAACUAGUUGAACCGAGUUUUUUGAGUUUUUUUAAUUGAACCAAUCGAAUUGAUCGCACCAGCGAACGAGUGGCCUGGUUUCUAAAACACUAUUGUUAAGUAUAUCUCAUGUUACGUGAGUCUUCACAAUCUGUUUUUGUUGUAUUACUAUGUUGAAUUCCCUAGCAGGGCUUUCUAAAAAUUUUACUUAGUAUCUGCCGGAUUAUUGAACUUGUAAUCUAAUUUGCGUCGAUUUACAUUGUGGAGUUUGCUUUAGAGGUAACUAUUGAUGGGAAAAAAAUGUGUCUAUUUGACUCAAGUUAUCAUUAAAGGACAGAAUUUGUCUAUCUGUUAAGGCAUAUCCUUUUUCUAUAAUUAACCAACAUAAUAAUAAGCUGGUUGGCAGGUCUCGUAGUUUAAGCAGUUGUGGUUAUUGAUGGUAAUUUUUGUCACCCUCUUGUCAUGGAAGAUUUGAUAUCUCAAAUAUUUUUUUUUUGCAGCUAGUGAUGUAGCAGGAGAAGUCGUAAAGGUUGGACCAGGAGUUACAAAUUUCAAAGCUGGGGAUAAAGUUGUAGCUGCGCUUCAUCAUUUUGUAAGUUCUCGUUCUCAUUCUUAAUCCCCCCCUCCCCAAGUCAGCAUAAAAAGUCUGGCCUGGAGGCUUAGUUUUCAGAAUCAGAUAGGUGGUUGAACUGAUGAUACCACCAUUUUGAUUAAAUAAUUAAUUAAAAAAUAUAUAAAAUAAAAAAUCUGAUUUAAGCGGUCCAACCAGUCCGUAUUGAUUCCUGAGUUAAAAGGUUCAAAGCCUUCUUCCGGAUAGGUACUCUAGCUGGAUCUUGGCCCAACGGUCGGAUCGGCUGGUCUAAUCUGGUUCAAACAAUCUUGCCGGCAUGUCAUUAAUCAUUCUGAGAACAAUCAGAAAGGAGAUUUCUUCUUGAAGAGUGGAAGAAUCACCGGUAUUUUACUAGCUUAACGGAUCACAAUUUGAAAAACAGUCAAUGAUAUUUGUAUUUUUGGUAUUAGCUCGAGUAAUUAAUUGGGCGUUGAGCUUGGUAGGACUUUAGGCAACAAUUCUUGAGGUAAAAUAUGGAUCUCCUCAUGGCCAAAAGAUCAACUUUUGAAUCCAGCAAUGAUGGAAUGCGCGUAAAUUGUAGCCCCAUAAAAAGAAAUUCCAAGGACUAGUGCUACAUUUUUUGUUCUAAUAAACCAUGUUGGUCUUCCAAUGAGUGAUCUUGAUUAGCUUAGUCAUGAGAACCGCUUAGCAUUGACCUGCUUGCCUGUUUGGAUUAAUCGGUAUCGUGUUUAGAAUGCAACCAUCCUUUGUCUAUGUGACUAUCAUUACUCUCAUUAUCUCGCCAUUUGGCUGAGAGAAACCUAGAUAACCUUACUGCAGUCCAGUGGUUCAGUGAAUUUAUCUUCUAUUCAUAUUAUCAGCGAAUCAGUAUCAGUUAUUUCGAUUGCUAUGACUAUCUUCUAUAAUGAAUUAUAUUUACAAUGAUAGACCGGAGGUGGACUAGCUGAAUAUGCUGUGGCUAAGGAGAAUCUGACAGUUGCAAGGUCACCAGAAGUAUCAGCUGCCGAAGGUGCAGGUUUGCCUGUUGCUGGUCUCACAGCUCACCAGGCACUCACCCAGGCAGCUGGGGUCAAGCUUGACGGAAGUGGCCAGCAAGUAAACCUCUUGAUUACUGCUGCUUCAGGUGGUGUAGGUCAUUACGCAGUUCAACUAGCCAAGCUUGGAAACACACAUGUAACAGCCACUUGUGGGGCUCGUAAUCUGGAUUUUGUCAAAAGCCUUGGAGCAGACGAGGUUCUUGACUACAAGACUCCCGACGGGGCGGCUCUAAAAAGCCCUUCGGGUCGCAAAUAUGAUGCAGUGAUCCACUGUGCAGCGGGCAUUCCUUGGUCUACCUUUGAACCUAAUCUAAGUUCAAAUGGGAAGGUAAUCGAUAUAACCCCUGGUCCUAGUGCUUUCCUAACUUUUGCUAUGAAAAAGCUUACUUUCUCAAAGAAGAAGCUGGAACCACUCUUUGUAUCACUUAAGAAGGAGAACCUCAA